rnacentral:rRNA from 1 species
GAGUUUGAUCAUGGCUCAGGAUGAACGCUAGCGGCAGGCUUAACACAUGCAAGUCGAGGGGUAACAGGGUAGCAAUAUCGCUGACGACCGGCGCACGGGUGAGUAACGCGUAUGCAACCUUCCUUUAACUGGGGGAUAGCCCGGAGAAAUUCGGAUUAAUACCCCAUAACAUCACAGAAAGGCAUCUUUUUGUGAUUAAAGCUCCGGCGGUUAAAGAUGGGCAUGCGUGCCAUUAGCUAGUUGGUGAGGUAACGGCUCACCAAGGCUACGAUGGCUAGGGGGUCUGAGAGGAUGAUCCCCCACACUGGUACUGAGACACGGACCAGACUCCUACGGGAGGCAGCAGUGAGGAAUAUUGGGCAAUGGGCGCAAGCCUGACCCAGCCAUGCCGCGUGAAGGAUGAAUGCCCUAUGGGUUGUAAACUUCUUUUGUACGGGAAGAAACUCUCGGUCGUGACCGGGAUUGACUGUACCGUGCGAAUAAGCAUCGGCUAACUCCGUGCCAGCAGCCGCGGUAAUACGGAGGAUGCAAGCGUUAUCCGGAUUUAUUGGGUUUAAAGGGUGCGUAGGCGGAAUAAUUAGUCAGUGGUGAAAGCCUGCGGCUUAACCGUAGAACUGCCAUUGAUACUGUUAUUCUUGAGUAUAGUUGAGGUGGGCGGAAUGUGUAAUGUAGCGGUGAAAUGCUU